rnacentral:tRNA from 1 species
CCACCGCUCAGUUGGUAAAGCACAAAGCUCUUAACUUUGUAGACGUGGGUUCAAGCCCCAUGAUGGG